UACGUAGGGGGCAAGCGUUGUCCGGAAUCAUUGGGCGUAAAGAGCGUGUAGGCGGCCCGAUAAGUCCGCUGUGAAAGUCCAGGGCUCAACCCUGGAAUGCCGGUGGAUACUGUCGGGCUCGAAUCCGGAAGAGGUGAGUGGAAUUCCUGGUGUAGCGGUGAAAUGCGCAGAUAUCAGGAGGAACACCAAUGGCGAAGGCAGCUCGCUGGGACGGUACUGACGCUGAGACGCGAAAGCGUGGGGAGCAAACAGG
rnacentral:rRNA from 1 species